UACGAAGGGGGCUAGCGUUGCUCGGAAUCACUGGGUUUAAAGGGUGUGUAGGCGGGUAUUUAAGUCAGUGGUGAAAUCUCCGGGCUCAACCCGGAAACUGCCAUUGAUACUAUUUAUCUUGAAUACUGUUGAGGUAGGCGGAAUAUGUCAUGUAGCGGUGAAAUGCAUAGAUAUGACAUAGAACACCGAUUGCGAAGGCAGCUUACUAAACAGUUAUUGACGCUGAGGCACGAAAGCGUGGGGAUCAAACAGG
rnacentral:rRNA from 1 species